GGGGCCGAUAUGGAUUCGACGCUGGUUACAAAGUCCAAGGUGCAUGUCGUGAGGGUAGCCAAUCACGUUAAUCCAAAGCUGCAAACUAUACAGUUGCCAAUGAUGACAACUACGGUGCCCAAUUAGCUGCGUAAGCAGCUUUUGAAAGCACUACCUAGUGGUUCGCCGCUAGCGGUCUAUAACAAGGUGCCAGUACCGCGUUAGAGCCCCCCGGCUCCACCA
rnacentral:tmRNA from 1 species